rnacentral:tRNA from 2 species
GCGGGGGUGGUGGAAUUGGUAGACACGCUACCUUGAGGUGGUAGUGCUUAACGGCGUGGGGGUUCAAGUCCCCCCUUCCGCACCA